AUCUCUGUUUGUUUUAAAUAUAGGCACCUAGAUGCGCCUCAUCACAGGGCUUGUUCAGGGCAAACCCAGCACUGCGGCUGCCUGUCUGACGACCUGCUGUGUGAAGAGAUCCAUGUGCUUUGGAUUCUUAAUUUUCCUCAAAGUUAUGCAAACAUCUUGAGUCUGUAUGAAUGCAUAGACAACAAAGAGCUGUGAGACUUCAGAGAGGCUGCAGACAUGCAGUUCAUGUCCACAGAACACCACUCAUUUAAGAAUCUGCCAGAGAGCUGUGAGGCAAUAAGGCAGGGAGCCAGAGAAUAAAGAAAAACACAGCACAGAAAAGACAGGACACAUCUUCUGUAGUGGACCUCAGGAUCAUCGGAUGUUUCGGCCAUUAUCACUAGACAUCCUCACCCGAGGGAGGCCCUGCCGAGGUUGAUGGAGCCCCGGGGUGUGUCCCAUAGCCAAUUGAUUGGAGUUGUAACUGUAGUUCUUCUGGUAAGUAGGUCCAGGUAAGUAUAAGGAGUUGCUAAGAUCGGUCGGUAUUUAAGUUAGGUAUUAUGAAGAUAGGUAUUAGUUGUUGAGGUGCUAAUUGUUCCUACAGUAAGUAGUAUUGAGGUAAGCAUUAGGAUAACGGUAAAUAGGGUAACUAUUAUGGUCAAUAUUGGAGGUAAGUAUUUGCACAGCAGUAAGUCUUAGAAUAAAGUAAGUAAGGUAGGUAUUACUGUAGGUUAAGGUAGGUCCCAGACUAACUUAAAUUAUUAAGGUAAAUAUUAGGGUUAAGUAUUAAGGUAGGAGGGAGGUGAAUGUUAGGUUGCGUUUGGGUACAUAGUUAAUCAAGCAAUUCUGAAGCUAAUUGUAUAGGGAAAUUUUGGGCUGAGGCCCUAGAGCGAGAGUAGAUAGGUCUAAAGGUAAGUUAAAGUUUUCUUAGGUAUUUUGGAGGUCUAAGAGAUUGGAUCCUUCCAGGCUGUGGUUGACUCGUCCUCCAGAGUCUCUUCAGCUUCUAUGGUCCAUAGGGUUGUCCUAGGUCCCGGUGCAUCCGCGGCCUAGCCACCUAAACUGGACUACGGGAUGGAGAAUUUGGAGGUUGUGAGAAAAUUUGAAGGAGACCGAUUGUUUGGGAGCGAAAGUUCAUAUUCAUGUGUUUUGUGCACAUCUAGGACUAAAUCACUCACUCACCAGAAAGCGGCUAUUGUAUUGGAUCAAAUUGACUGACAUUGCCCUUUAUACAGCAAUCAGAGGUAUGUUUUAAAUUUGAUUUUCUCUGCAUCAGGAGUAGUAUAUUUGUAUUGAAUUAUUCAAGAAUAUGUAGACUCAGUGCUUUUUAUGUACUGAGCUAUUACCAGACUGAAUAU